rnacentral:tRNA from 1 species
GCCAGUGUGGUGUAGUGAUUUGAGUUUUGGACUGUGACUCUGGAGACCAGGGUUCAAGUCCCUGCUCAGUCA